UACGUAGGUUGCAAGCGUUAAUCGGAAUUACUGGGCGUAAAGCGAGCGCAGGCGGUCGUGUAAGACAGAUGUGAAAUCCCCGGGCUCAACCUGGGAGCUGCAUUUGUGACUGCACGGCUAGAGUGCGUCAGAGGGGGGUGGAACUCCACGUGUAGCAGUGAAAUGCGUAGAGAUGUGGAAGAACACCGAUGGCGAAGGCAGCCCCCUGGGAUGACACUGACGCUCAUGCUCGAAAGCGUGGGGAGCAAACAGG
rnacentral:rRNA from 1 species